rnacentral:rRNA from 1 species
GAUGAACGCUGGCGGCGUGCCUAAUACAUGCAAGUCGAGCGAACAGACGAGAAGCUUGCUCCUCUGACGUUAGCGGCAGACGUGUGAGUAACACGUGGAUAACCUACCUAUAAGACUGGUAUAACUUCGGGAAGCCGGAUCUAAUACGGUAUAAUCUGUUAAACCGCAUUCUGCAAUAGUAAAAGACGUUUGUGCUGUCACUUCUCGCUGGAUCCGCGCCGCAUUAGCUAGUUGGUAAGGUAACGGAUUACCAAGGAGAGGAUGCGUAGCCGACCUGAGAGGGUGAUAGGCCACACUGGAACUGAGACACGGUACAGACUCCUACGGGAGGCAGCAGUAGGGAAUCGUCCGCAAUGGGCGAAAGCCUGACGGAGCAACGCCGAGUGAGUGAUGAAGGUCUUCGGAUCGUAAAACUCUGUUAUUAGGGAAGAACAAAUGUGUAAGUAACUAGGCACGUCUUGACGGUACCUAAUCAGAAAGCCACGGCUAACUACGUG